rnacentral:rRNA from 1 species
GGGGGAAUUUUGGACAAUGGGGGCAACCCUGAUCCAGCCAUGCCGCGUGAGUGAAGAAGGCCUUCGGGUUGUAAAGCUCUUUCGGCCGGGAAGAAAUCGUGGUCUCUAACAUAGGCCAUGGAUGACGGUACCGGACUAAGAAGCACCGGCUAACUACGUGCCAGCAGCCGCGGUAAUACGUAGGGUGCGAGCGUUAAUCGGAAUUACUGGGCGUAAAGCGUGCGCAGGCGGUUUUGUAAGACAGAUGUGAAAUCCCCGGGCUCAACCUGGGAACUGCGUUUGUGACUGCAAGGCUAGAGUACGGCAGAGGGGGGUGGAAUUCCACGUGUAGCAGUGAAAUGCGUAGAGAUGUGGAGGAACACCGAUGGCGAAGGCAGCCCCUGGGCCUGUACUGACGCUCAUGCACGAAAGCGUGGGGAGCAAACAGGAUUAGAUACCCUGGUAGUCCACGCCCUAAACGAUGUCGACUAGUCGUUCGGAGCAGCAAUGCACUGAGUGACGCAGCUAACGCGUGAAGUCGACCGCCUGGGGAGUACGGCCGCAAGGUUA